GGGCCCGCACAAGCGGUGGAGCAUGUGGUUUAAUUCGACGCAACGCGCAGAACCUUACCAGGGUUUGACAUCCUGUGCUACGUGCAGAGAUGCACGGUCCCCGCAAGGGGCGCAGAGACAGGUGCUGCAUGGCUGUCGUCAGCUCGUGUCGUGAGAUGUUGGGUUAAGUCCCGCAACGAGCGCAACCCUCGCCUUUAGUUGCCAUCAUUCAGUUGGGCACUCUAGAGGGACCGCCGGCGACAAGCCGGAGGAAGGUGGGGAUGACGUCAAGUCCUCAUGGCCCUUACACCCUGGGCUACACACGUGCUACAAUGGCGGUGACAGUGGGCAGCGACCACGCGAGUGGAUGCGAAUCCCAAAAAACCGUCCCAGUUCAGAUUGCACUCUGCAACUCGGGUGCAUGAAGGUGGAAUCGCUAGUAAUCGCAGAACAGCAGGCUGCGGUGAAUACGUUCCCGGGCCUU
rnacentral:rRNA from 1 species